GACGAACGCUGGCGGCGUGCUUAACACAUGCAAGUCGAACGGAAAGGCCCUGCUUUUGUGGGGUGCUCGAGUGGCGAACGGGUGAGUAACACGUGAGUAACCUGCCCUUGACUUUGGGAUAACUUCAGGAAACUGGGGCUAAUACCGGAUAGGAUCUCUUGCUGCAUGGUGGGGGCUGGAAAGUUUCGGCGGUUGGGGAUGGACUCGCGGCUUAUCAGCUUGUUGGUGGGGUAGUGGCUUACCAAGGCUAUGACGGGUAGCCGGCCUGAGAGGGGGACCGGCCACAUUGGGACUGAGAUACGGCCCAGACUCCUACGGGAGGCAACGGUGGAGAGUAUUGCACAAUGGGCGGAAGCCUGAUGCAGCAACGCCGCGUGCGGGAUGACGGCCUUCGGGUUGUAAACCGCUGUCGCCUGUGACGAGGCGUGAGUGACGGUAAUGGGUAAAGAAGCACCGGCUAACUACGUG
rnacentral:rRNA from 1 species